rnacentral:rRNA from 1 species
AGAAUCAACGCUGGCGGCGUGCCUAACACAUGCAAGUCGAACGAGAAAGUGGAGCAAUCCAUGAGUAAAGUGGCGACCGGGUGAGUAACACGUGACCAAUCUACCCUUGAGUGGGGGAUAACCUCGGGAAACCGGGGCUAAUACCGCAUAAUAUCCUUGGAACGGAAGUACUGGGGAUCAAAGGAGCAAUUCGCUUAAGGAGGAGGUCGCGGCUGAUUAGCUAGUUGGCGGGGUAAUGGCCCACCAAGGCUUAGAUCGGUAGCCGGCCUGAGAGGGCGCACGGCCACACUGGAACUGAAACACGGUCCAGACUCCUACGGGAGGCAGCAGUGGGGAAUUUUGCGCAAUGGGGGAAACCCUGACGCAGCAACGCCGCGUGGAGGAUGAAGGCCCUAGGGUUGUAAAGCUCUUUGUGCGGGAAGAUAAUGACGGUACCGCAAGAAUAAGCCCCGGCUAACUUCGUGCCAGCAGCCGC